UACGGAGGGUGCAAGCGUUAUCCGGAUUCACUGGGUUUAAAGGGUGCGUAGGUGGCUUUGUAAGUCAGUGGUGAAAUGCCGCAGCUCAACUGCGGAACUGCCAUUGAUACUGCUUAGCUUGAAUCACGUCGAGGUGGAUGGAAUAUUACAUGUAGCGGUGAAAUGCUUAGAUAUGUAAUAGAACACCGAUUGCGAAGGCAGUUCACUAGGCGUGUAUUGACACUAGGCACGAAAGCGUGGGGAUCAAACAGG
rnacentral:rRNA from 1 species